CGGAGGAUCCAAGCGUUAUCCGGAUUCAUUGGGUUUAAAGGGUGCGUAGGCGGAAUGAUAAGUCAGUGGUGAAAUCCCUUCGCUUAACGAAGGAACUGCCAUUGAUACUGUCAAUCUUGAGUACAUUUGAUGUGGGCGGAAUGUGUCAUGUAGCGGUGAAAUGCUUAGAUAUGACACAGAACACCGAUUGCGAAGGCAGCUCACAAAACUGUAACUGACGCUGAGGCACGAAAGCGUGGGUAUCAAACAGGAUUAGAUACCCCUGGUAGUCCACGCUGUAAACCAUGAUUACUCGAUGUUUGCGAUACACUGUAAGCGUCUAAGCGAAAGCGAUAAGUAAUCCACCUGGGGAGUACGCUCGCAAGAGUG
rnacentral:rRNA from 1 species